UUUAAGCGCAACCAUGAGUUUCCGUGCCUAACUUUGAUCAUCCGUCUUAUUUGAAUUUUUUUAUUAGUAUUUUUGUUGUUAUUAGAUGAUAAAACAUGAAUAGUACUUUUAUGCAGAACUUAUGUUUUUUAAAUUUUUUUUACAAAUCUUUCAAAAUAAGACGGAUGAUUAAAUUUGAAUACGAAAACUCAUGGCUGCGCUCAGA
rfam:Oryza sativa Japonica Group DNA, chromosome 6, cultivar: Nipponbare, complete sequence.